AUAUCGUUACUAGAUAACGAUAUCCGUUAGACUUAACAGUAUAUAAAACCCGAUACUUGUAGAAAGAAUUAGUAUUGUGCUCUAAGUUCGACAUAAGUGAAGUGGUUGGAAAUUUGAAAAGAUAUACCACAAUGGAGUAUGUUUCAGGGAACAUACAAUUUGAAAGAUGUUGAAAAUUGUUUUAAACCUUAUAAUUACUAUACUUCAUUAUCUGAAGAAGAUGAGACGUCCCCAUCUAUUAUCAAGCAUACAAGGACUGUAGAUGAUUUGUUUGUUCAAGAAUCAGAAUAGAAAAGGAAAAAAGUUAUAAUUUCUUCAACUGUUGGUUCAUAAAAGAAGGCACUAUUAAUUAUAUUUCAACUAAUAAAAAUGACGGUGAAGAGUCUGAUCUCAUGAUAAAAAUUGAUGUAUAUAGAAAUUCCGACAUCGCAACAUUGGAAAAAAGCUGAUAUUCGAAUGAAAUACUAAAUAACAUGUAAUUCAAAUACGAAUAAUCAAAUAAAAAGUAUAGUUUAUACUUUAUAACAUCACUAAAGAAAUAUCAGAAGUUAAUAAUAUAAAGCAUUAUUGUUUUAAAAACUAAAUAAUAAAGUAUGACUCAAACAUUAAUUGACUAUAUAAAUUAAAUUACAAUGCAAAGUUUUUGUAAUGUAAUAAUUUGGUAGUUAGUUAAUGACACAAGUAGUUAAGUAAUUACGCUUUCUUGAUCUAUAAAUAGUGUUACAUUCCUUGGACUUUAAAUCAUUGAAGAGUUAACCUUAUACAAUGAACGUCAUGGAGGAGAUAAUGUGUGAAUGUAAACUGCAAAUAAAUCUAUAAAUGAAGAAGUGAAGAAAAUAAUUUACAAAAUGCUUUUUAUGACAGUGCAAUGGCUGAGUUAUGUGUUAAAGUGGAAAAGCAAUUGACCAAACUGGACGAGGUCUUAAACGAGCACAAUAUGAUUCUCACAUCGGUUUUGAAGCGAUUUAAAUCUGAAACACCAUUAUCUUCUGUACCGGAGACAUCGACUUCAAAUUAUGGAUGGAUGGCUAUGGGACUUAAUAAAAGUUUAAAGUCUGCAUAUAACAAAGGGUAAUUUAAUUUUUCGCAAAUUUAUCAAAGUUUAAUUUGCAGUCUGAAGCAAUAUCACUACACCAAUUUCUUUUAUUAUUCGGUACUAGGUAGUUGUGUUGUGUAUCGACAAUCAUUUUUCUGGUGGUUUUCUAAACGUUGAAGCAAUAGAAAAUAUAACAAACAAAAUCACAGAAGUAUUUACUUCUUUUGACUUUGAAAUUUGACUACUUAUUAAUGUUGAUAUAUUUUUUAUGAAACAAUAAUGCCCUAUUUUAACUUGUGUCAAAGUUAUGUGUGUGAGUCGGCAUUCUAUUUCUUGUAUGUUGUACAACAACAAUAUGUUUUAGUUUUUGCUCAUCAUAUUCUAAACCAAAAACCUUAAUAGGUAUCUAGUAGGUAGGUACUAAUUUUCCUAGAUUUUAAAUUUAGGGGUAUGUCAUGAAAUUUAACUAGAAAUUUAAUAAUACCUAACUUUAAUUUAUGACUGUAUUUGGUGUGUGAUGGUAUUCUAUCCGAUUUUUUGUCUAUUGGAAAUAAAGCAGAUAAUAGUGCUCACUUAAAACAGGCGUCAUCAGUGUUUUUAAUAUCCAAAUGUAUCAUAAAUCUGGUAUCUCAAAUUGUAAAUCAUUUUGAUUUUCUGAGCUUACUCUAUUGGUUAUAAUCCUAUUACCGAACGCAGUCUCGAUUAUUUUAACAUUGGGUUUUAUUGAAUGUUGUAUUUUAUCUACAUUAUUUUGUGUACAUUGCUCCGUAGAUGACUAGCGAAAUAUUUUUUGGAAACAUUUGUAUCAUAUACAGCGAAAUUUCGUGUUAGAAUCACCUUCAAUCGAUGUUGAUUGCUCUUGUGCAGACCGUGAAAGAUCCCUGUUAGAUCCAGAUUUUAUUAUUUUGAUGUCAGCAUAGUUAAUAUCAACAUCUGCUUUCGUUUUGGUUCUACGACCCAUUUUAUUACCCUAUCGAAUUAAAUUUUAUUUUAUUUAACUGUUAGGAAUCAAAAAAAUAUAUGAUUAUUAAAUAUACUCGAAAUUUCCCAUCGAAUUCAUCACAUAGCACCAUCAUCGUUUGACCAUGAAAUGAGUAAUUUAAAUAAUUUCUUUAUAUUUCAUCACAAACUUUGAGAAGUUCAAUUGUAUCAAUGGAUAAGCUCAAAUCCAAUUUUCAUUUCAUCAAAAAACACACUAACAUCGUUUCACAACAAAAUUUUUUUGAUGCACACUUUUUACCUUAAUGCGCUAAGGUUUUUAACUAAAAGCACAAUUAUUAUUAAGCACUUUGUGUAAUGCGACAUAGUGUUUAUACUAGUGGAUAACUGAAACUUUAUUAACUAAUUAUGUAUUAGAAUCCGGUAGUUAGUUAAUUAAUGACUAAUUAAGUCAUCGUAUUAAGAAACUAAAUUAACCUAAUUUUGAAAACUGUAAUGUUUUACACUAUCUUCCUCGGAUAUUUCCUUUGUUAUGUUAUAUACAAUAUCCUUUAUCUGAAGAUCAAUGUUGGAAUCGUUUUUCAUGUAAUAUUUAACACGAAUAUGUGCAUUUUUCCAAUGUUGUGAGACCGAGAUUUCUUUCAACAUUUUAAACUAUAUAUUUCAAUUUUCACAAGUAUAUCAGCGUCCAUUCCAUCAUCUUUGUCUGAUGAUAUAUAUGAAAUGCUUCUCUUAUUCCCUGCACGGCCAACAGUUGAAGAAAUUUUAGUUUUUUUCUUUUUCUGGUCAGUCUGGAAAAAAGUCAUCUAAACGAUUGGACCUCUUAUUUAUAUUUACUGUUAUGUUUGAAACGUCUUCUUCAUCAGAUAACACAUAAUAAUUAUAGGGUCUGAAACAUUUUUCCACAUCUUUGAGGUUGUAUUAAGACUGAACUAUAACAUACACAAAUCAAAAUGUGUUUUAAAAAUUAAAUAAGAAUUUAUUGAAA